AACCCAGGGCCGCAGUCGCGUCGGCUAGCCUGCGAGUCUCAGAGGAAAAAGGGGCUCCAGAAGUGCGUGCCCCGGGCCGCUCACCCGGCCCUGCAAUUGUGGGAAGAAGAGAAUAGAGGAGUGAAGAAGGGUGCAUUUUCCAUCUCACCUCAGUCCUCGGCUAGGAAAACCACAUAGCCCUGACCAGUGGGCUCAAGGCCCUGCUGGAAACUGGUUCUGAGUGUAUAUGUCUCAGCUUGAGAUGAGAAAAUGAGAACAAGUAACAAGCAUAUUUUUUCAACUGUCUUUUCUAAAGUGCAGGUUAGGGGCUUCCCUGGUGGCGCAGUGGUUAAGAAUCUGUCUGCCAAUGCAGGGGACACGGGUUCGAGCCCUGGUCUGGGAAGAUCCCACAUGCCAUGGAGCAACUAAGCCCGUGCGCCACAACUACUGAGCCUGCGCUCUAGAGCCUGCGAGCCACAACUAAUGAGCCUGUAUGCCACAACUAGUGAAGCCCACGGACCUAGAGCCCGUGCUCCGCAACAAGAGAAGUCACCGCAAUGAGAAGCCCGCACACUGCAACGAAGACCCAACACAGCCCAAAAUACAAAAAACAAGUAAAAUUGGUUUUCAAAUCUGCUAAUUGGUGAAAAGAGAUCCACUUCUCUCUCAAGUUACAGAAGCAGAAAUUCAACUGGUCCUUAUUAAUGAAAGAUCUUCAGUGAAGGUUGAAAGCCCUUCAGAUCAGUCAUACCAGACUUUGAGCUCCUCUGGCCUCCGUGGUUCCAUCAUCUGUGCUCAUGGCUCACAGGUGUGCAGGACAGCUAUGUCCAGGACUAACCGAGGACAAAAAUGGUUACUUAACCACCCAGAUAGCUCACUGGAAAUAAAUAUGGAAAUUUCCUAAGAGGCUGAAUACUGAUGAGGUUGUGACUGAAUUUAGAAUUCUCUUCUGGACACAAUUCCUUGGGUGAUAUAGGAUCCUAAAUUUAUUUGUUUUACCUUUGUAUUUUGGAAAAGUUAAAACUUAUAAAAGUUGAUAAAUUAGUAUUCUGUGUGCCCAUCACCUAGCUUCAAGAAUUAUUAAUUUACAGGGCAGAAUAAUGGCCCCCGCAAGAUGUCCGUGUCCUAAAGCCUGGAACUUGUUGAUAUGUUAGGUUAUGUGAUAAGCAAGAAUUAUGGUUACACAUGGAAUUAAGGUUGCUCAUCAGUUGACACUGAGAUGGGGGAGAUUAUCCUGAUUCUCCAGGUGGGAACAAUCUAAUCACAUGCAUCUUUGUAAGUGCAAGAAGGAGGCACUAGAGAGAGACCCAGAUAGAUGGCCAUGUGAGAAGGUAUUGGCUGAUGCUGUUCAAGAGAGAUGGAGGAAUGGGGCCUUGAGCCAAGGAAUGUGGCUAGCCUAUAAAAGCUGAAAAAGGCAAGGAAACAGAUUCUCCCCUAGAGCAGCCUGAAGGACUGGAGGCCUGUCAACAUCUUGAUUUUAGCCUAGUGAGACCUAAUUCAGAUUUCUUACCUACAGAACCAUAAGAUAAUAAAUUUGUGUUGUUUUAGGCCACUGAGUUUGAGGUAAUUUUUUGUAGCAGCUAUAGAAAACAGAUUUCUAAAAAAAAAAAAGGGAGGGAGAGAGAAAGGCUGUCAAAAUGUGAAGGGAAUAAAAUAAUCCUUAAGGUUAGCACUAAAAAUUUCUUUGAAUGUAUUUUACAAACCUAGCAAAGAAAGACUUUUAUUUGUUGGCUUUGACUACAAAAGGAAUGGAUAUAAAUCUGAAUAUCUAUAAAAGAGAUUUGAAUAUAUAUACAAAAGUUUAAAUAGAUAUUUAAAUUGCUAAUAUGAUUAGUUUUAUUAAUCACUUGAAUGAUUUAAGCCCAUUACUCUCAUCUUUUGGUGCCAUUUUUAUUAAACUACUUAUUUCCAUUACAUAAAUUGCAAAUUAGAUACUCUGGCUUACUUAAAUAUAUGUAUUAUGGUACUCUUGAUGGUUUUCUUUUAUAUACUAUUUAUCUAAUUUCAGCAAAAAGGCAGAUAUUGGAGAGAUAAAAACUCAUUAUUUUAUAGAAGCUAGUGAAAUUGUUUAUACUUAUUAAGAUAUGGUACUUUCAAUAAAACCAACUUAAAAUCUAUGAUCAUUUUCUUCAAAAUAAUUCUCUAAAUUCCUAUUUACAUUCAUAGGUUCUUUUUUUCUAAGCCUGAUAAAGUACUUAAGAUGAAUCCAAAAACCAACCAACCAAUCACUCAACUAACUCUGCAAACAUAAACAUAAGUAAAAACAAAAAAAUAAACAAAACAAAGCAUUUAAGUUUAUAAGCACUUUUGAAAAGUGAUGCAAAUGGCUUGAAUGAACUUUCUCAUAUAUCUCGUUUUUAUCUUGCUAAUGUUAAAGGACAAAAGAUCAAUGUCUAGAUUUACUGAAGUCAUGUAUCCUAAUGGACCAUUUCUUUUACGUUUAGACACUUUCCCCCUCAAAGAUAUUAGCCAUAUGAUUCACAAUCUGCAGUGAGGUUUUACUAAAUGUUAUUAUUGGAGAUAUAUUCAACUGUAUGUUUGAGAUGGAUAGAUUAUAUUCCUUUGGAAAAUUGCAGGAGAAAUUCUGUGGUAGCAUAUACUUGUUUUGAAAGUAUAAAUUAGAAAUACACACUAAUAAUUUUGAGCAUAUGGCACAAACUUUAACACACAAACACAACAUAUGCACAUCAAACUCCCAAAUCUCAGAAAUACAUAUGCUAUUUAACAUUUCCACUUAAUACUUAAUACAUCAUCUCAUUCUUCCUAGACACUAUGAGAAACUGAAAUGUACAAAAUUAAGGGUCGUCUCUAAAGCUGUUGUGAUAUGUAAACCUGGUUAGGCUGUGGUGCCCAGUUAUUUGGUUGUUAUGAAAAUAGUUUUUAGAUGUGAUUAACAUUUACAAUCAGUAGACUUUGAAUAAAGCAGAUUAUCCUCCAUAAUCUGGGUGGGCCUCAUCUAACUAGUUGAAGGUCUUAAGAGCAAAGAUGGAGGAUUCCUGAGGAAAAAGCAAUUCUUCCUCAAGACUGCAGCAUAGAAACACUGCCCAAGUUUCCCACCUGCUGGCCUGCAUUGCAGAUUUUGGGCUCAAGGCUGCAACGUCAACUCUCCUUUGAGUUUCUAGCCUGCUGGUCUGCCCUAUGGAUUUUAGACUUUCUAGGCCCCUAAAUUGUAUAAGUCAAUUCCUUAAAAUCUCUGUCUCUCUGUCUCUCUAUAGAUAGGUAGGUAGGUAGGUAGAUAGACAGAUAGAUAGACAGACAGACAGAUAGAUAGAUCCAUCUCCUAUUGGUUCUGUUCCUCUCAGACAGACCCUGCCUAAAUAGCUAUUAUUGCCCAAACACCUUGCAAAUAAGACAUUAACCUUGAUUACUUCUGAAAAAAAGUAAUUCUGUAUUCUCAUUUUGGGUACCUUUCACUUGCUUUAUUUAAAUUGAUCCAAAAUAUUUUAUUCCUUUUAGCUCAAAUUGAUAACAAAAACUUUAAAAGCUCAAAAGAACUUCUUUCUACCCAAUAUUCCUGUCAUUGAGUUUCUUUCUCCACCUCCACCCAACUCCUCACUACUCUCCUAUCCAGUCCAUGAAUUAUCCCUAACAUAUACUUCAUUUUCUAAAAUACAAGAUCAUUGAAGAACUUUUUAGACACUCUAACAUAGUUUCUAAAUUUUUUGGUUUAAGUCUCUUUUCUGUGACUAUCACUACUGUGUUCUGUUUUUUACGUAUACUCCCUAGUGACUGUUUUCUAUAAAUUUAUGUUUAGCCAACAGUUAAAAUAAUGUGUGCUUGGAUAAUAGUUGAAAAAGCUCAAAGACUCUGGAUCAAUUACCAUAAGGCUGUCUUAAAGAAGACUUGCUUUGUCUACCUUAAAAUAAGACCCUUUACUGGUGUUUAAGAUAAAGCUGUGUCUUCAUUUUCUUCUUUAGAUUCAGAGUUAAUUCUGACCAGAACUCUAAAACGAAUUGCAAAUGAUCAGUUAAUUAAAGCAAUGCAGUCCACACCAGGAGGACUGAGUUCCUUUCUAAGCUGAUAAAAUAUUUAAAAAUGCAUAUUAAUAUGGGACUUUUUCCAGGUAAAGAUACAAAAUUCAAAACUACAACAAAAUUAGUCUUCUGCUGUUGCUUAAGAGGGAUUUAGCCCCUGUGCAAUUUAUGACUCAGAUUAUCUUCUUAAACAAUGUUACCCAAAUAAACCUUCCUUGAAAUCAGUGGUACUGGUAUUCAAACAUUUUUCCUUUACAUGGAGUUAACUGUAUCCUCUAUCAUCUGACUGAACCAACUAACGUCAUUUCUCUUAAAGACAUCAACAGCUCAAGGAAAAACAAAGUUUUCUCUCCAGGGCUGGGGGAGGAAUUUUGCUUUGCACUUGAAAAUGUUUUCUCUGUUCCAAGAAGAUAUUAGGAUCAGUUGACUGACAACAGGAAAAAUUUUCCUGGCAGAGAAGGAAGCCAG